rnacentral:sRNA from 1 species
GACUUCACCUGAAACUAAGACUUCACCUAAAACAAAGACUUCACCUGAAACUAAGACAUCACCUGAAACAAAAAGUUUGAAAUCAUCCAAGUCCAAUGCGUCUAUUCCUUCUCAUUGUGACAAUGAAAUUUUACCUGAUCCUCCAUUAAAGAAGCGAUCACGGAAAGGCUACUUUUAUAGUUGUGGCUGGAUGAGCCAUUUGUGGCCGAGCUGCAAGUGUUUGAGUUGUUGCUCAUCAU